AAUCUUUGAACGCACCUUGCGCCUUUUGGUAUUCC
rnacentral:rRNA from 1 species